rnacentral:rRNA from 1 species
UACAGAGGGGGCAAGCGUUGUUCGGAAUUACUGGGCGUAAAGGGCGCGUAGGCGGCCUUCUAAGUCGAACGUGAAAUCCCCGGGCUCAACCCGGGAACUGCGUCCGAUACUGGGAGGCUUGAAUCCGGGAGAGGGAUGUGGAAUUCCAGGUGUAGCGGUGAAAUGCGUAGAUAUCUGGAGGAACACCGGUGGCGAUGGCGGCAUCCUGGACCGGUAUUGACGCUGAGGCGCGAAAGCCAGGGGAGCAAACGGG